GUGCCGGUAGCUCAGCCUGGGAGAGCGCAGGACUGUGGAUCCUGAGGUCGCGGGUUCGACAUGGAGGUUUAGCUUCCACGAAAGUCCCGCCCGGCACC
rnacentral:tRNA from 1 species